UGGGGAAUUUUGCACAAUGGGGGCAACCCUGAUGCAGCGACGCCGCGUGAUUUAGAAGGCCUUCGGGUUGUAAAAAUCUUUUGUAUGGGAAGAAAAUGACAGUACCAUACGAAUAAGGACCGGCUAAUUACGUGCCAGCAGCCGCGGUAAUACGUAAGGUCCGAGCGUUGUCCGGAAUCAUUGGGCGUAAAGGGUACGUAGGCGGAUAAGCAAGUUAGAAGUGAAAUCCUAUAGCUCAACUAUAGUAAGCUUUUAAAACUGCUCAUCUUGAGGUAUGGAAGGGAAAGUGGAAUUCCUAGUGUAGCGGUGAAAUGCGCAGAUAUUAGGAGGAAUACCGGUGGCGAAGGCGACUUUCUGGCCAUAAACUGACGCUGAGGUACGAAAGCGUGGGUAGCAAACAGG
rnacentral:rRNA from 2 species